UACAGAGGGGGCGAGCGUUGUUCGGAAUUACUGGGCGUAAAGGGCGCGUAGGCGGCCUCUUAAGUCGAACGUGAAAUCCCCGGGCUCAACCCGGGAACUGCGUCCGAUACUGGGGGGCUUGAAUCCGGGAGAGGGAUGUGGAAUUCCAGGUGUAGCGGUGAAAUGCGCAGAUAUCGGGAGGAACACCGGUGGCGAAGGCGGUUCUCUGGGCCGGUACUGACGCUGAGGAGCGAAAGCGUGGGGAGCGAACAGG
rnacentral:rRNA from 1 species